UGACAUCUGCUGCAUUGCUUUAACUUUAAAAUUUAGAUGCAUCUAUACGUCAUCUGAUGUGCUUUUUUAAAUUGGUUUGCUUUAAUUUUGAAUAUUUGUUUGCUUAUUUUCAGCUAAGACUGAAAAAGGAAA